UGGGUUGGGUUGUGUUAGAUUGGGUUGGGUUAGAUUGGGUUGGGUUGAGUUGGUUAAGUUGGGUUGGGUUAA